rnacentral:rRNA from 1 species
UACGUAGGGUGCAAGCGUUGUCCGGAAUUAUUGGGCGUAAAGAGCUCGUAGGCGGUUUGUCGCGUCUGCUGUGAAAACUCAGGGCUUAACCCUGAGCCUGCAGUGGGUACGGGCAGACUAGAGUGUGGUAGGGGAGAUCGGAAUUCCUGGUGUAGCGGUGGAAUGCGCAGAUAAUCGAGGAGGAACACCGGUGGCGAAGGCGGAUCUCUGGGCCAUAACUGACGCUGGAGGAGCGAAAGCAUGGGGAGCGAACAGG